rnacentral:rRNA from 1 species
AGAAUGACUUUCGGCAACGGAUAUCUCGGCUCUCGCAUCGAUGAAGAACAUAGCGAAAUGCGAUACUUGGUGUGACUUAUAGAAUCCUGUGAACCAUCAAGUCUUUGAACGCAAGUUGCACCCGAAGCCAUCAGGUCGAGGGCACGUCUGCUUGGGUGUCACAU